UUAAAUUGAAGAGUUUGAUCAUGGCUCAGAUUGAACGCUGGCGGCAGGCCUAACACAUGCAAGUCGAACGGUAACAGGAAGCAGCUUGCUGCUUUGCUGACGAGUGGCGGACGGGUGAGUAAUGUCUGGGAAACUGCCUGAUGGAGGGGGAUAACUACUGGAAACGGUGGCUAAUACCGCAUAACGUCGCAAGACCAAAGAGGGGGACCUUCGGGCCUCUUGCCAUCAGAUGUGCCCAGAUGGGAUUAGCUUGUUGGUGAGGUAACGGCUCACCAAGGCGACGAUCCCUAGCUGGUCUGAGAGGAUGACCAGCCACACUGGAACUGAGACACGGUCCAGACUCCUACGGGAGGCAGCAGUGGGGAAUAUUGCACAAUGGGCGCAAGCCUGAUGCAGCCAUGCCGCGUGUAUGAAGAAGGCCUUCGGGUUGUAAAGUACUUUCAGCGGGGAGGAAGGUGUUGCGGUUAAUAACCGCAGCAAUUGACGUUACCCGCAGAAGAAGCACCGGCUAACUCCGUGCCAGCAGCCGCGGUAAUACGGAGGGUGCAAGCGUUAAUCGGAAUUACUGGGCGUAAAGCGCACGCAGGCGGUCUGUCAAGUCGGAUGUGAAAUCCCCGGGCUCAACCUGGGAACUGCAUUCGAAACUGGCAGGCUUGAGUCUUGUAGAGGGGGGUAGAAUUCCAGGUGUAGCGGUGAAAUGCGUAGAGAUCUGGAGGAAUACCGGUGGCGAAGGCGGCCCCCUGGACAAAGACUGACGCUCAGGUGCGAAAGCGUGGGGAGCAAACAGGAUUAGAUACCCUGGUAGUCCACGCCGUAAACGAUGUCUACUUGGAGGUUGUGCCCUUGAGGCGUGGCUUCCGGAGCUAACGCGUUAAGUAGACCGCCUGGGGAGUACGGCCGCAAGGUUAAAACUCAAAUGAAUUGACGGGGGCCCGCACAAGCGGUGGAGCAUGUGGUUUAAUUCGAUGCAACGCGAAGAACCUUACCUGGUCUUGACAUCCACAGAACUUUCCAGAGAUGGACUGGUGCCUUCGGGAACUGUGAGACAGGUGCUGCAUGGCUGUCGUCAGCUCGUGUUGUGAAAUGUUGGGUUAAGUCCCGCAACGAGCGCAACCCUUAUCCUUUGUUGCCAGCGAUUAGGUCGGGAACUCAAAGGAGACUGCCAGUGAUAAACUGGAGGAAGGUGGGGAUGACGUCAAGUCAUCAUGGCCCUUACGACCAGGGCUACACACGUGCUACAAUGGCGCAUACAAAGAGAAGCGACCUCGCGAGAGCAAGCGGACCUCAUAAAGUGCGUCGUAGUCCGGAUUGGAGUCUGCAACUCGACUCCAUGAAGUCGGAAUCGCUAGUAAUCGUGGAUCAGAAUGCCACGGUGAAUACGUUCCCGGGCCUUGUACACACCGCCCGUCACACCAUGGGAGUGGGUUGCAAAAGAAGUAGGUAGCUUAACCUUCGGGAGGGCGCUUACCACUUUGUGAUUCAUGACUGGGGUGAAGUCGUAACAAGGUAACCGUAGGGGAACCUGCGGUUGGAUCACCUCCUUACCUUAAAGAAGC
rnacentral:rRNA from 1 species